CAGAAUAAUGGUCCCCAAAGAUGCCUACGUCUAACUCCUGGAAGCUGUGAAUAUGUUGUGUUAUAUGGCAAGGAUAAACUAAAGUUGCAGAUGGGAAUUAAAGAUGCCAAUCAGCUGAGCUGGAAAUAAUGAGCGUGCCCUGGAUUCUCCAGUGCCUCCAGAAAGAACGCAGCCCUACUGACACCUUGGUUUUGGCCUCGUGAGACCGACUUUGGACUUCUCACUUCCAAAACGGAAGCUGCCUUUGGAGAGACCUACAUGGGAAGGAACUGUGGAGUGCCUCUAGCCAACAGCCAGAGAGAAACUGAGGUCCUCAACUGAACAGUCCCUAAACAACAGGAGCCUACCAAUAAUCACACUGGUGAAGUUGAAAGUUGUACUCCUCCCUCAGUGGAGACCUCACAGGAGAUCACAGGCCAGACAGUUAACUGCAACCAAGCCAGAGACCUUGUGUUGCAGAGAUGUGCAGAAAACUGUGCCGCAUUUCUGACCUACAGACAGAUAAUGUCUUCAUUUCUUUAAAACAGGUCAUCGUCAUCACUUUCAAAGAGAGUCUCAGGAAUAAAGGAAGAUACAAAUCUACCUACUUGAAAAAAGCAAGUCCAUCGGAGAAUGAAAUUCCAAUUCCACAGCCCUCACUGAAGCAAAGGGGUCGGCCUCUGUGCAACUCACAGAAGUUUGUGUGUGCUUGUGUACGUGAGUGCAGGUGUGUGCCUGUGUGUGUAUGUUUGCUUUAUGUCAUUUUAAAUGUGUUUAAAAAAAUAACAGAGCAAAAAUUGAGAAAGGAAUGCUAUUGUCAAAAAAGGAAAGAGGGGAAAUGACAGUUACAUGACAAAGCUGGCUUAGUAACCCCCAAACUUCCCACACAACUGUUCAAACUUGGUCCUUGCAGGUCAGUGCGCUAUAGGGCUUCGAAGCUUUUCUCCUGUUUGAGGCCCCUCCCAGCAGCACCUGCCUCUCACACACACCCCUGUUGUGGUCUUUUUUCCCCAAAUGCAUAUCUUUUGUUCUGUUCUAGUCCAAGUAGUUAAGAAACAGCUUGCCGAUUCAAACCGUGCACAAAUACCAGAAUCCAAGUAUUUUUGAAGAGCUUUCUUUUGCUGUUAUUUUGUUGUUAUACUUUGUUGUUAUUUUUACUUAAGAGAACAAGAAAUUAGAGGAUUGCCAAAAACAGAAAUGGAGAAAAAACGAAGAUGAAUGUAACAAUGAAUCCGUGAGAUAUUUUAAAUGUCUAAACUGGCACAGUUCAAAUUAUAAAUGACAUUAUGGUCUGUGUUGCAUUUGGCUGGAGUUGUUGCAUGGAGAUUGUGGCAGGAACCCAUUUUCCUUCCCUGAAGCCAAGCUGGGUGUGUGCAGGGUGUCAAGAGAAUUAGGAGAGAUUGUGUUGCUUUCGGUGGGGGUGUAGGUGGGGCAAUUUAUGAGUCCUCAAGCCUACCUUCUAUGCCUCACCUAUUAACUACAAAGGUUAUUCAAUACAAGAACCAUGAUUAAUAAGCAGCUGUCAGCUGAGUGCAUUGGCUCAUGCCUGUAAUCCCAGCGCUCUGGGAGACUGAGACAGGAGGAUGACUUGAGGCCAGGAGUUCCAGGCUGCAGAGAGCUAUGAUGGCAUCACUGCACUCCAGCCUGGGCAACAGAGUUAGACCCUGUCUCAAAUGAACACAUAAACUAACAAGCAGCUGUCAAAAAGCAUCCUCAAAAGUGGGAGUGGACAAGGCCACGGGCCAAAAAGGCUAAUAAAAUCAGCCCAGUCUUCCCCCUGAACACAGUGGAUUUCCAUCUGUGUGAUAAUGUUGGAGCAUUGUCCCUGCAUGAACUUGGCCUUGUCUUCUGAUUCUACUUCUCAGGUUCAGCAAAAGAAAAGAAGGGCCUGUAAAGGAAAGAGAAA
rnacentral:lncRNA from 1 species